CAUAAAGUGGCAUGUAAUUUACGAGGCUCGAUUAUUUAUACUCUGAGGCUAAAGAAGAUUAAUAGUCUAUUUUGGUGCAUCUGGGAUGUGUGUUGUGGAAACAAAUUCACAAGCUGGAAUCCAGAUUACAAGCUCCAUGGAAGUAAACUGGACAAGGCUAGGAGUUUACCUGCUUUGCUCACCACUGUACACUCAGCAGCUGUUAAAUGAUGAAAGAGAAUGAUCUCUGAGAGAAUCAUGGGGAUUAAAGGAACAUGACACACCAGCGUUACAGAUGAGCGACCAGCCCCAGAGUGGGAUUGUGGGUAGGAGGAGAUGAGAGAGAGAACAGAAGACUCUCGGCCAGAGGCCAGCCAACCCCCUCUAUAUUCCAGGGGAGCACUAAGGGGUGGCCCUGAGCCACUUCCACUCAACACUCAGUCAGGCCAGCCCAGGAAGAAGCAGGUGCCACCACCAGCCAACCCUCCCUGAGUCACUAUUGACUUUUCUUGAAGCUUUGUUUACAAAAAUCCUUGACCACAGACAAUGAUCUAAUCCCUGGAAUGAGAAGUGGGUGCAGGUUUUGUGGGGCCUGAAAUACAUACAAAGGGACUCCCUUUCAGAAAAAAGACCUGAAAUUAAAAAUACAAAAUUAGCACAGGACUUCAGAAGAGCCCUCUAUAAAUCAGACCCCUUAAACUACGUUAAGCUCUCUUAAACUGUAUUAGCUUCAGGGUCUAUCCUGGGAGGGCUUUUGACUUUUGGACUGAAAGGUUUUCUUUUGUGACAGUAAAUAAUUUAUGAGGGCAAGGAUUGUUUUUUGUUUGCCUUUUCCACCUCUCCAUCAUUUCGCCGCAGGACCUACUCAUUGUGGACAAUAAACAUUGGUCCAUGAAUGGUGUUGGUGUCGAUGAAACAAUCAGAUAGGCAGGCGUUGUGCAAGACUGAUGGGCUCACUCUAACCAACGUGCUGUGGAACAAGUCUGUCCUGGAAGUAGUGGAGACACAGAGGAGGAAAAGGUCAGUUCUAUUUGGGGCAGAGGCAUAGUGAUCACGAAAAGCUUCAGAGACAAGUUGAUCUCUACUGGAAAGAUGAGUAAAGGUGUGGGGAUGGUGUUGAAAGGCAUUUCAGGCAGAGAGAGCAGUGGAGCUGAAGCAUGGAGGUGUGAAACCACAUAAGGAUUUCAUGGAAUUGUAAGCAGUUUGGUAUCGGCAGGGUAUGGAGCACAAGAUGAAGAGGGGUUCUUAGCAAGAGGUAAGGCUGAGAGGCAGAAAAAGGUGAAAUACUGAGGGCUUCACAGGAGUUUGGACUUUAGUCUGUGAACCAUGGGAGCCAUUGAUGGCUUUAAAGGGAAUAACAUGCAGUGCCUUUUUGUAAUUUUAUUCUGGCACCUGCAUGAAGAACAGAUUGGGGAUGAGGCAGCAAGACACUCAGGACCCUAUUGCAAUUGUGUGAGUGAAAGGCCAUGAAGGCCUGAUCAAAUGCUGUGAUGACGGCGGUGGUAGGGCCAGGCAGAUAAGGAGAGAUGGUGAGAAUGGGGUGUUCACAGGGUUUGAUG
rnacentral:lncRNA from 1 species